GCUAAGCCCUGAACAUUGAAAGCCACCAUACCAUGCUUUCCACCAGAGAAUUACGAGCAACAAGCUUAAAACUCAAAGGACUUGACGGUGUCCCACAUCGACCUAGAGGAGCCUGUCCUAUAAUCGAUACCCCCCGCUCCACCCAACCCCUACUAGCAAUAAUCAGCCUAUAUACCGCCGUCGACAGUCUACCCCAUGAGGGUCCAUUAGUAGAUAUAAUAGUUAAUAACUAAUACGUCAGGUCAAGGUGUAGCAAAUGUAGGGGAAGAGAUUGGCUACAUUUUUUAUCUUAAAACACACGGAAUGCACUAUGAAAUACCGCAUAAAGGCGAAUUUAGCAGUAAAAUA
rnacentral:rRNA from 1 species